rnacentral:rRNA from 1 species
UACGUAGGUGGCAAGCGUUGUCCGGAAUUAUUGGGCGUAAAGGGCGCGUAGGUGGAUCAUUAAGUCUUGAGUCUAAGAGCGGUGCUCAACGCCGUAUAGGCGCAGGAAACUGGAGAUCUUGAGUGCAGGAGAGGAAAGCGGAAUUCCCAGUGUAGCGGUGAAAUGCGUAGAUAUUGGGAGGAACACCAGUGGCGAAGGCGGCUUUCUGGACUGUGUCUGACACUGAGGCGCGAAAGCCAGGGGAGCGAACGGGAUUAGAUACCCCGGUAGUCCUGGCCGUAAACGAUGGAUACUAGGUGUAGGAGGUAUCGACCCCUUCUGUGCCGGAGUUAACGCAAUAAGUAUCCCGCCUGGGGAGUACGGCCGCAAGGUUGAA